GAAGCCUCUUGCGGUGUGGCCCACUCCAGAGGGCACCCCUGGGUUUGAGCCUUCAGGUCCUGGGUCCCAGCCUCCCUGCCAGAAGCUGCUGAGAUCGGUCUAGUGGGGAGGCUGCCUGGAUGUCCUGUCCUGGAGGACCUGUGUGCGCCUGGCCCCUCAGAGUUCCAGCCCAUUCCUGCCUGUUUCCCGUUUUCCCCCAGCCCUGGAACCUCACUUCUUUCCAGAGAAAGCGAAUUGGGCAUCAGAUCAGCUCUGCUCAGAGCCUCGGAGAGCACAGCUGAGGAGACAGUGGCAGGCAGGAAGGCUGCUAUGGUGGUGCAGGCCGGGCCUUCCGAAGGACAGAGACACGGGGAGACAAGGCGGGCUCUGGAUUCCCAUCCCCAGGCUGCUCAUACAGAGGGAGAUGCCCCAGAAACCCUCAUCUAGCAGAAGCUGUGAUCUGUCAGCUCCUCCCAGUGAACACCGGAAGCCACAGCACAGCAGCAGCAGCAGCAGCAGCAGCAGCAGCAGCGUGGUCACCUGAAUCCAGCUGCCCUGGUUGUGGCUCAUGGGCUGUGUUACCUGGGGUUUCAGGGCUACUGGACCCACUCAGCCUGCGGAGUUGUAAGUGGAAGAGACUGGAGUGGGCCAGAAUCCUGGAACUCCAGAAUCACAGAAUCAUCAUCUGUAGAUGCACAGACCCAAGAAAUGCAGCAUUAAGGAAGCUCUGGAAAAGACUUGGACCCUCCCUCAUGGCUUGUUGGAUUACCAGAGUCCUAGACUCAGCCCCAGGAAACAUGGAAUAGAAUUGGGUGGACACCCCAGAAUCAGCAUCUAAGCCCGGGAAGGGCUUAGUCAACUCCCACGGGGAGGUCCUCACCGAAUAGGAUCACCUAUUACACUGCUGCUGCUGAGGCGGAGGCUAAAUUUGCUCUGUGCUAUUGCCCACCCCUCUGUCCUGGCCCCUUCAGUCACUGAAACAAGCAAGAGAAAAGCCCGGUCUGCUCUUAUCUUAGAGAAGGGACCGCGCAGGGACAGACAGGAAACACCUUAGGAGAAACGUGCGCAGUCAUGAAACCAAGGAGUGAUGCUUUCUCAGCAGGAGAGA
rnacentral:lncRNA from 1 species